UACGUAGGGUGCGAGCGUUGUCCGGAAUUACUGGGCGUAAAGAGCUCGUAGGUGGUUUGUCGCGUCGUCUGUGAAAUUCCGGGGCUUAACCUCGGGCGUGCAGGCGAUACGGGCAAUACUUGAGUGCUGUAGGGGAGACUGGAAUUCCUGGUGUAGCGGUGAAAUGCGCAGAUAUCAGGAGGAACACCGAUGGCGAAGGCAGGUCUCUGGGCAGUAACUGACGCUGAGGAGCGAAAGCAUGUGUAGCGAACAGGAUUA
rnacentral:rRNA from 1 species